rnacentral:rRNA from 1 species
GACGACGCUGGCGGCGUGCUUAACACAUGCAAGUCGAACGGAGUUACGUAUGAAGUAUUUCGGUACGGACUACAUAACUUAGUGGCGAACGGGUGAGUAACACGUGGGCAACCUGCCCUUAACCGGGGGAUAACAUUGUGAAAACAGUGCUAAUACCGCAUAACAGAGUAUCGGGACAUCCGAUAUUUUUAAAAGGAGCAAUCCGGUUUAGGAUGGGCCCGCGUCCAAUUAGCUAGUUGGUGAGGUAACGGCUCACCAAGGCUACGAUUGGUAGCCGAACUGAGAGGUUGAUCGGCCACAUUGGGACUGAGACACGGCCCAGACUCCUACGGGAGGCAGCAGUGGGGAAUAUUGGGCAAUGGGCGAAAGCCUGACCCAGCGACGCCGCGUGAAGGAUGAAGGUCUUCGGAUUGUAAACUUCUUUGAUCAGGGAAGAAAGAAAUGACGGUACCUGAAGAACAAGCCACGGCUAACUACGUG